rnacentral:rRNA from 1 species
AGGGAGCAAUCCCCGGUAGAGUGGCGCACGGGUGAGUAACACGUGGGCAACCUUCCCAUGAGUGGGGGAUAACCUUCCGAAAGGAGGGCUAAUACCGCAUAAGACCACGGAGAGUCCGCUCUCUGAGGUCAAAGCCGGCCUCUGUAAACAAGCUGGCGCUUAUGGAUGAGUCCGCGGCCCAUCAGCUAGUUGGCGGUGUAAAGGACCACCAAGGCGAAGACGGGUAGCUGGUCUGAGAGGAUGAUCAGCCACACUGGGACUGAGACACGGCCCAGACUCCUACGGGAGGCAGCAGUGGGGAAUUGUUCGCAAUGGGCGAAAGCCUGACGACGCAACGCCGCGUGGAGGAUGAAGACCUUCGGG